rnacentral:misc_RNA from 1 species
UACGUAGGUGGCAAGCGUUGAUCGGAAUUAUUGGGCGUAAAGCGCGCGCAGGCGGCCUCUUAAGUCUGAUGUGAAAGCCCCCGGCUCAACCGGGGAGCGGCAUUGGUAACUGGUGGGCUUGAGUAUAGGAGAGAAGAGUGGAAUUUCACGUGUAGCGGUGAAAUGCGUAGAGAUGUGGAGGAACACCAGUGGCGAAGGCGACUCUCUGGCCUAUAACUGACGCUGAGGCGCGAAAGCGUGGGGAGCAAACAGG